UACGUAGGGUGCAAGCGUUGUCCGGAAUUAUUGGGCGUAAAGAGCUCGUAGGCGGUCUGUCGCGUCUGCUGUGAAAACUCGGGGCUUAACCCCGGGCCUGCAGUGGGUACGGGCAGACUAGAGUGCAGUAGGGGAGACUGGAAUUCCUGGUGUAGCGGUGAAAUGCGCAGAUAUCAGGAGGAACACCGGUGGCGAAGGCGGGUCUCUGGGCCGUAACUGACGCUGAGGAGCGAAAGCGUGGGGAGCGAACAGG
rnacentral:rRNA from 1 species